UUUUACGGAGAGUUUGAUCCUGGCUCAGGAUGAACGCUGGCGGCGUGCUUAACACAUGCAAGUCGAACGAUGAACCUGGGUGCUUGCAUCUGGGGGAUUAGUGGCGAACGGGUGAGUAACACGUG
rnacentral:rRNA from 1 species